rnacentral:lncRNA from 1 species
GCAGAAUAAGACAAUGUUGUUGGACAAUUUGAGAAAACAAGGCCAGAUUCCAUCCACUUCUUCUCAGAGGACUGUGAGACAUGGUUGGGAGUAUGGACUCCAGAAGCAGAUCAACUUGGGUUUGAAUUCUGUGUUUAUUGCUUUCUAGCUCCAUGGCCUUGACAAAGCUAUUAAACCUCCCCUGAGCCUCAGCUUCUUCAUCUCUAAGAUGGAAAAACUCCCCUCUAUCUUAAAAGAUUGCAAUGAGGAUGAGAUGCAGUAAGAAUGCAUGUGCAGUAUCUGACGUGAUGAGCAUAUUCAGUUGAUGCUGGCUAUUAUUAUUUAUGGAAAAAUUGUCCUUGGUUUCAUCUCCUUUCAGUCUCUUACUGAAGUAGCUUGAGAGCUUUAGGUAAAACAACUUCCAACAGAUGGAUCUAAGAAGCAACUGGAGAUCAUUUGCCAUGAUGGUGAUGAAGCAUUAAUUAAGUUGGAAUUACCACCCAAACUCAACCAGGCAGGAGAGAUCCUGGAGGAAAUCCAGUCUAUUGGUUUCUCAGCAGAAGAAGAGCUCUGCUUAUGGUGAAAGACAUCAAAGAGCCUGAGUGUGAAAGCAAGAUGACAAGAUACAGCAUUCUUUUCACAAGAAAUGCAGAGAAACAGCCCGGAGGUGACCUGUGCUUGCUGCAGCCCAUUCCCCAAACAGUGGGCCAGGGACCUCUGUCGUAAUUAUGCUUGCAACUCAGCGAUGUAUUUCAUCACCCGGUAGUGGGGCUGCUGCCAAUUCCACCUCUACAAAAUGUUGCAGAGUAGAGACAUUUUACAGGAAGAAUGUUGUCAGAGUGCUGUUCAUCUCCACCGAGGCACAGACAGAAGAAUAAAUAAACCCAGGCUUGCAAAGUGGGGGUUGGUUAUGGUCUCACCCUCUUUCUCCAUCCCUUUAUGAGUGAGACCACCAUGGCUUGGGAGAGUUAACCAAUUUCUGUAAGGUUUCGCAGCGAAGGUCAGAAAUAGAACUAGGACUAGAAUCUACAGAGAUUGAGAAGAACAAAACUCUUCAUCGUUAGGAAGUUAAACCCAGGAGUGUGACUGAAUGGAUGGGAAAUGAAAAACAGGAUUGAUUUUCUUACCAUUGUGACAGCUCACAAGAAUCUUUCAAAAUCCUUCCCAGGCCUAAGAGGCUAUAAACCACGAAAACAACAACAACGAAGAGGAAAAGCCAGGAGUUGGGUGGCACGUGGGCAGGAGAUACUGGAGGACGCAAGGCAGGCAGAUCAUCGAGGAAGACCACUGGGCUGAAAUUUUACCACAGUUUGGCCUCAAGCAGAGAAAUGAGAGCUUCCAAUAUAUAAGGCGCCCUUCUGGUUGCUGCUGAGCACACAGAGAUGAAGAAGCACCCGCCAGAGGGCAGGGAGAGGAAUAAUGCCGCAGUGUCAGACACAGAUCUGACAGAGUCACUGUCAUGUACAUUUCCUCACAGUGAGCCCCUGAGCUAAGUAUUGUUUUCUCUAUUUUACAGAAAGAAACAUCAAACCGUGACAGAAAAAGAGUCAGUGUGAUGUAUUUGCGCAUUAUCUUCCUGUCUCUCUAUGUAAGAAUUUAGGCAGAAAUAGGUAAAUACGUAGAGAAACUAGGAUGUGUUCAUGAAAACUGAUGUUUCAACAAAUCUAAAGACAGUAACAUGGGAAAAUGAAAGAAGCUCUCUGGUGUCUGUAGCCUCACCAUCUCCUCACGCACAAGGAUGCGUCUCCUCGAAAGCGCCCUUGCUCUGCAGCUGAACCAGAGGCUGCCUGACCCUCUCCACCUCAGGGAGCGAGGCAGAGCACCACUGUGAGGCUUCCCUGAGGCACAGGUUAAGACAGGUGGACAUUCUUCUGUAAACAGUGGAGAAGUCACAAAAGGUUUCUGAACAGAAGAAGAAUCUGAUUGGAUAUGAUGCUUAUAGGGGAGCUGGACUGGGAAGACAAAACUCAGGUUUGAAAAGCUGGUGGGAAGAUGUGGAGCAGUCAAGACGAGAGGUAGCAAAGAGAGGUGCUGAAAGUGGAAAGAGAAACAGGGCC